AUAUCGGAACGUGCCCAGUAAUGGGGAAUAACUAGCCGAAAGGUUAGCUAAUACCGCAUACGACCUACGGGUGAAAGCAGGGGAUCUUUUGACCUUGCGUUAUUGGAGCGGCCGAUAUCUGAUUAGCUUGUUGGUAGGGUAAAAGCCUACCAAGGCAACGAUCAGUAGCUGGUCUGAGAGGACGAUCAGCCACACUGGAACUGAGACACGGUCCAGACUCCUACGGGAGGCAGCAGUGGGGAAUUUUGGACAAUGGGGGCAACCCUGAUCCAGCCAUCCCGCGUGAGUGAAGAAGGCCUU
rnacentral:rRNA from 1 species